UACGGGGGGUGCGAGCGUUGUCCGGAAUCACUGGGCGUAAAGCGCGCGCAGGUGGUUUCUUAAGUCUGAUGUGAAAGCCCACGGCUCAACCGUGGAGGGUCAUUGGAAACUGGGAGACUUGAGUGCAGAAGAGGAAAGUGGAAUUCCAUGUGUAGCGGUGAAAUGCGUAGAGAUAUGGAGGAACACCAGUGGCGAAGGCGACUUUCUGGUCUGUAACUGACACUGAGGCGCGAAAGCGUGGGGAGCAAACAGG
rnacentral:rRNA from 1 species